rnacentral:rRNA from 1 species
GCCGUAGCGCGGUGGUCCCACCUGACCCCAUGCCGAACUCAGAAGUGAAACGCCGUAGCGCCGAUGGUAGUGUGGGGUCUCCCCAUGCGAGAGUAGGGAACUGCCAGAC